CCUACGGGCGGCAGCAGUAGGGAAUCUUCGGCAAUGGGGGGAACCCUGACCGAGCAACGCCGCGUGAGUGAAGAAGGUUUUCGGAUCGUAAAGCUCUGUUGUAAGAGAAGAACGUGUGUGAGAGUGGAAAGUUCACACAGUGACGGUAACUUACCAGAAAGGGACGGCUAACUACGUGCCAGCAGCCGCGGUAAUACGUAGGUCCCGAGCGUUGUCCGGAUUUAUUGGGCGUAAAGCGAGCGCAGGCGGUUUAAUAAGUCUGAAGUUAAAGGCAGUGGCUUAACCAUUGUUCGCUUUGGAAACUGUUAGACUUGAGUGCAGAAGGGGAGAGUGGAAUUCCAUGUGUAGCGGUGAAAUGCGUAGAUAUAUGGAGGAACACCGGUGGCGAAAGCGGCUCUCUGGUCUGUAACUGACGCUGAGGCUC
rnacentral:rRNA from 1 species